AUUGCUUUGUUUAAAAUUUCGCCGUAGCACUUCCUGCCCCACCUGGUACGAUACUUCCUGUGCCCUCAGGUCAUAAUGCCGUCGAUUUCGCUCCCAUUGCUUCCGCAUCACUUCACACGCUCUCUUUCUGACGAUAUCCAAUGAAUCCUCACGUGUGAAGGUCGCUGCCUUGUCCUCUAACAUCCCCAAUUUCCUCAGCAAAGAAUACGUUGCGCCUGAAGACACCAUCUGCUGGCCGAAAACCAUAUAGUAGGGCGUGGAUCCUAACCCUGAGUGAACCGCCGACCUCAACGCACAGCAUAUUUUGCUAAGACUCUCAUCCCAGUCUUUCUGGUCACUGCGAAUAUACGACCGAAUGGCAGCGAUGACCGAACGGUUGACUCGCUCCGAAGCAUUGGCUUGGGGAGCGUGGACAGCUGUUAGCGUGUGCGUUAUUCGAUGCCUUCUGAGCAGGCCUUGAAACUUCUCGGAUCGAAAUUGCGAUCCGUUGUCAGAUACAAUUCCCUCUGGAACUCCGAAACCUUGAGGAAAACAAAUUUCGAAUAAUGGUCCAGGACAAUAAAAAUUUCUAUAUUUCCACUGCGAGACUUAGGAUACGGACCUAAGAAAUCAAUAUAGAGACGCUGGAAGAACUUUUGCGACUCGGCCGCUUUUCCCAUCGGUGGACGUAACGGAGCGUUUGGAGCUUUUGACAUUUUACAUUGCUCGCAGGCUGCCCCGUAGUCUUUUACGUCAUUGAUGAGUCCGGGCCAGAAAUAAUAACGCCGAAUCCGCUCGAGUGUCUUGUGGACUCCACCAUGGGAAGCCAGCGGAUCAUCGUGUGCUCUCUUAAGCACUUCUUUGACCAUCCCCCUGGGUACCCACAACUUCCAAGCAAACGCGUCGUUAAGGAUGUCUCCUUUUACAUGCUCGGAUCGCCGAUAGAUCAGAGAAUCAACUAUUUUAAGGUCGGGGAGUUGAGCCAUAUUGCUCUUAAUUCCCUCCAUCAGUUCCAAAUAUUCUCCCGAUUUGAAAUGAGCUGACUCAAUGUCCACCAGCAAGCCAUUGCUGAAAUCCACUGCAGCCACUUGGUCAUAUGGGACCCUGGACAAGGCAUCCGGAACAACAUUCAGCUUCCCUCUUCUGUGUUGGAUACUGAACCGGAAACCUUGCAGUUUUAAAGCCCAUCUCGCUAACCUCGAAUUCAAAUCACUUUGAGACAUGAGCCAUUUCAGCGAGGCGUGAUCCGUAAUUACAGUGAACUCCUGACCCUCUA